rnacentral:rRNA from 1 species
GACGAACGCUGGCGGCGUGCUUAACACAUGCAAGUCGAACGGAAAGGCCCUGCUUUUGUGGGGUGCUCGAGUGGCGAACGGGUGAGUAACACGUGAGUAACCUGCCCUUGACUUUGGGAUAACUUCAGGAAACUGGGGCUAAUACCGGAUAGGAGCUCCUGCUGCAUGGUGGGGGUUGGAAAGUUUCGGCGGUUGGGGAUGGACUCGCGGCUUAUCAGCUUUUUGGUGGGGUAGUGGCUUACCAAGGCUUUGACGGGUAGCCGUCCUGAGAGGGUGCCCGGCCACAUUGGGACUGAGAUACGGCCCAGAGUCCUACGGGAGGCAGCAGUGGGGAAUAUUGCACAAUGGGCGGAAGCCUGAUGCAGCAACGCCGCGUGCGGGAUGACGGCCUUCGGGUUGUAAACCGCUUUCGCCUGUGACGAAGCGUGAGUGACGGUAAUGGGUAAAGAAGCACCGGCUAACUACGUG